AGAACGAACGCUGGCGGCAGGCCUAACACAUGCAAGUCGAACGCGCGUAGCAAUACGCGAGUGGCGCACGGGUGAGUAACACGUGGGAAUCAACCCUGAGGUUCGGAAUAACCGCGGGAAACUGCGGCUAAUACCGGAUGUCCCCUAUGGGGGAAAGAUUUAUCGCCUUGGGACGAGCCCGCGUCCGAUUAGCUAGUUGGUGAGGUAAUGGCUCACCAAGGCUACGAUCGGUAGCUGGUCUGAGAGGAUGACCAGCCACACUGGAACUGAGAUACGGUCCAGACUCCUACGGGAGGCAGCAGGUGGGGAAUAUGGGCAAGUGGAGCAACUCUGACCCAGCCAUCGCCGCGUGGGUGACGAAGGUCUUCGGAUUGUAACGCCCGUUUCGGCGGAGACGAUGAUGACGGUAUCCGACAGAAGAACGCCCCGGACUAACGUUCGUACGCCAGUACGCCGAC
rnacentral:rRNA from 1 species